GUAGGUGGCAAGCGUUGUCCGGAAUUAUUGGGCGUAAAGCGCGCGCAGGCGGUCCUUUAAGUCUGAUGUGAAAGCCCACGGCUCAACCGUGGAGGGUCAUUGGAAACUGGGGGACUUGAGUACAGAAGAGGAAAGCGGAAUUCCAAGUGUAGCGGUGAAAUGCGUAAAGAUUUGGAGGAACACCAGUGGCGAAGGCGGCUUUCUGGUCUGUAACUGACGCUGAGGCGCGAAAGCGUGGGGAGCAAACAGGAUUAGAUACCCUGGUAGUCCACGCCGUAAACGAUGAGUGCUAAGUGUUAGGGGGUUUCCCGCCCCCCUUAGUGCUGCAGCUAACGCAUUAAGCACUCCGCCUGGGGAGUACGGCCGCAAGGCUG
rnacentral:rRNA from 1 species